CCCCCCCCCCCCCCCCCCAGGAAAGGGCAGCCCCCGCGCCCCGCCCGCCCCUGCCCUCCGCCGACACGGCGCAAAGCGGAGGCUCCGCGCCGUUCCGCGCCCCUCCGCGCCCCGCGACGGGGCUCCCGCCGCGCCCCCCCCCCCCCCGCCUUCCCCCACGCGUGUGAGGAGCGUGCGGGCGGGGACCCACUCACCCCGCCACUGACGGUGCCUCUUUUCCUCUAUCCCCCCCCCCCGCCUCUCUUUUCCUAAAAAAAAAAAAAAAAACCCAAAAAAACCCAACAAACCAAACCCACCCACCACCCCCCCAAACCCCCCAGUCAUUUGCAUACCGUUUGGCACCCUCGCUCGGUAUUCCCCCCGACUCCCCCCGCACUCGUUUUAUCCCCCCUCCGCCCCCGUCCAGACCGACCCUUCCCGCCCCCCCCCCCCCCCCCCCCCCCCCCCCGCAUCCCGGGUGCAACCGGAUGACAAAAAUCAAAGCUGGUUCCAAUUUACCCCCGUUGUCUUCCUUUGAACACCCAUAAGGCUCACUCUGUUCUCCAGUCUUGUUACGUGGAUUUCUCUCUCUCCAAAUAAUUCCUCAGCAUCCCCUUGAAUGGCAUCUACCACACAUAACUUUUCCAACCCACAAGGCUGAAACAACUUCCCACAACUGAAAUGACUCUAGCACAGCUAUUCCCUAGAAGACAUCCUCCCUGACUUCUUGCGGGGCCUGCGAGAUGACCAAAGUUGCAGGCAGGGCUGUAAGGCACACCCUCCUAGCAUGAAUAUGACUGCUGCCUCCAGGGUUCCCACACAGGAUUGGAGGAGAAAGGAUUUCUCCAGCUCUAGAAAGAGACAUGAACAGCCACCAGUCUGAAAAGCCUCCUAGUCUUUCCGGAUCCUCUGAAGACCCGGCGUAGGAAUCCACACCUACCCUGAUAAUCCGUCAGUAGGUCAGACAGCCCCUCACUUCCCAUAUGUAGACGUUCAGUGAUGCUCUGCAGUUACUCUGAGAAUAAUAGGACUCCUUCCUGGCUGCCUCUUAGCGGGCACUGGCGCAGGUCAAUCCUAAAUGCCUUGAUUUUGACAGAGGCCAAUACCAGACAAAAUGAAAGGACAGUCUCCCUCCUCACUGCGCGUUUAACAGUGGUAACAGUUUACCAUGGACGAAGAUGCCUUCCUGACCCUGUCUAUUGACUGACAUAUGUCAAGUACUGCUGGGAUGAUUAGACAUUAUUACAUAAUACAAGCUAGUAAAACUGUCACAGAUUUUUUUAAGGCCAAAGACUUAAUUUGGAGCUGCCACCAUCCUCGGAGAUGUCAGAAAUGUUGUUCAGCUGUACCCCCUUCCUGAUGAAACAUGCAUUUACACGCCGUUCAACUAGGACCGUGCACACGUGCAAGUGGUACCUGAGGUCUGUGGUCUCCUGUUUACCGUACGCCUCCACUCCAGGUCAGGGGAAGACCCCUUGGAAAAUGAGGCACUUGACUGCAGAGGGUGAGGAUCUCACUCUGGUGUCACAGCUGGGUGUUAUGCCUUCAUCAGGGUAUUAGAAAAGGCUCAGGGAAAACAGUUAUAUCUAUUCUAUUGCCUAAGACACUUCCUGCAGCUACCGCCUUUCCUUAGAGUUACUAAUCCCAGCUCUGACCCUGCCUGACCCUACUUAUCUUGUAAAAGCUGACAAGAUCACAGCCCGAAGCAGUAUAGCCACAGGCUCAAUACUGGCUACCAAAAUGUCUGUUUAGUAUUUUCGAGAAACGCUGCUCUAAAGAUUUACAAUACCAGCUGCUAGAUAUAUGGACAACACCAACACACAGCCCUGACCCUUGAACAUUCAGCCUCACUUACACAGAAAUUUGUGCCUCUCAAGGGGCCAACACUGAGCUGCCACAAAAUAGUGAUUCCCUACCUGCAAGUGAGCUGGAAUUUAGGCAUCAUAUGAUUAUAUACACUCAGAUAUUGGGUAAAAUUAUUUGAAAACUACAGUCUUGAGUUCAGAAUUCAUUGUUAUUUUCUUUCAUCUGUUUCAUUACCGCUUUAGCAGUGGAAAGAGAUCUUCCAUUUCUGUGUAAUAUAUAAGUUUUUUUUUUUUUUAGUUUAGUAUAAAGAAUUGUCUUAAUUCUUCCGUGACCAAAGCAGUUUUUCAUCAGAAGUUAUUUUUAGACAAACUGUAAGUUUCUUCUCUAGCAAACAUUUUAGCUCCACUUUAUGAAAGCAAAUGCACAUUUUACCAGAUAUCUCUAAGGAUAAACACAGGUUUAAAUAUCCAAGAAAUAUUAAGGGACCAAUCAGGUUUAAUUGUAUAUACAGUCAUACACAGCAUACAUUAAUAGUUUUCGCAGAGUAGGUUUUUUUUUUUGUUGAUGUUGUUGUUUUUUUUUUGUUUGUUUGUUUGUUUGUUUGUUUUGUUUGUUUGUUUUGGUUUGGUUUGGUUUUUUUUGAUUGAUUUUCUUUUCAGAACAGUGAAGACAUAGAAAAGGCAUUGAGGUCCUAUUGCUCCUGUCGGAAACUUCUCCUGACUACAGCAUGAGUUGGAUUGGGCCCAGAGAAACCAAAUACACACAAGUAACAAUAAGUUGGCCAUACAAGCAAGGAAAAUCACAGAUAACAGGUGCACACAAAUUAGCAACGUACCUUUUAGGUCAUCCAGUACAGCUCCCUGACACCGUGAGAUUGUUUCCUAUGGCAUAUUUUCAGUUGUUUUGUGUGCCUAGAUUAAAUGUCCUAAGUGAUGCCAUGUCCCUAGGGAGAGAUUGUGCUGCCUAGAGUAUCUUGUUGUCAGAAGUUUUUUUUCCUUUCUUAACAUUGUCAUAUUUCUCCUAGUUAUGUCCCUUUGCAAAUCUCCUUUUCCUUUAUAGACGUUAUUUUCCUCCAGCAUCUUUUAACUAGUGUAAUUUUGUGUUUAAUUAGCAUUAGGCCAACCCCCAGCUAUUCAGCUCAUUUAAGCUUCCCUAAUAAAUCAGUCCUUUCAGUCUCCUGGUUUUUCUUCCUCUCCUCUUUUCACGGUCCUGCCUGUCAGUAUCUUUUUUAGUUAUGAGAUUUUAGAGAUGUGAUGUGUUUCUCUGAACUAAUGACAGGUCUGGUAUAGAGCUGAGCACCCUCAAUGUCUACUCACUGAAAAACCUUCCUGAUGUGCCCAGGGGAAAGCUGCUGGUGCUCUGGACAGACACGCAGGUAGAGUACCCUGCUCAAACAACGUCCUUGGUGCCUCUUACUCUAUUGGCCAACAAAACCCUAUUAACACAGUUAACCUAGUAGUUCAAAAAACAGAUACAUGUCAUUAUGGACUUUUUUUUUUUUUUAUUUCUCACGGUGUUAGGAGAUAGACUAGCGCAGAUAAAAAUACGUUUGUUGAUGUUGUUGAGAUUUUCUAACUCUUGGUCAUGGGCAUCACAGUCUAAAAUUAUGGAAGACGUCAUCUUUUAUAACUAUAUCUGAGUGCUAGGAGAGUACAUUGUAGAAAGUAAUUACAUACAUAGUCACAAGCCUAGCUGUUCAUUUUAGGCAAUAAAUUCUGAUCAACAAACAACACUCUCUUAGUGCUAAAUGAGAUCUUGGUUGCAAUUGAAUGUCUUUACCUUUGUGUUCUGUUGGAUUGGAGGAAUAUCAUUUUAAUCUGCUCUCUUUAAAUUUUCAUUAAGGAAUGUUUCAUCUACCUGCAGCCUCAUCUGAUGAUGUUUAAUGAUAUCAGCUAGCUCGGUCUUCCGUGCACCAGCAGGGGCUUCUUUAAAUUGGUCAACUGUAUGGAACAUUGUUUUCACAUUUAAUGUACUUGGAAUCAACCUUUUAAAAUAAUGACAUCUCUAAAGACAGUUUAUAUUCAUAGUGCACACACAUACAUGCAUGCAUUUAUAUGUGCAUGUGUGUGUGUAUGCAUAUGUGUAUAUAUGUAAGUGCACACAUACGUACAAAAAUGCUGAUCCUAUUCACCUUCUUGAAACCAUUUCAGCUGGUAUUAACAUAAAUGUGCUGUUAAAUUGGCAGUGUUAUACAUUUUUGUUGGAGUUUACUUCUGUAACAUAAAAUCAGAAAGAUAAGCUGUGAAACUCAUGCAGCUGAUGACAUAAUGCUAGGAUCUCGUGAUGCUGAAUCUCAUAUUUCGGGGCAUGUGGGAUGGAAGUUUCUUGCUGAAAUAAUUAUACUGCCUAUUGCAAUAUAUGUUUCCUUUUUUUCAUGUGGGCACUGAGAUGUCCAAACCAUUAAACAUAUAUGGCAUAA